rnacentral:rRNA from 1 species
UGGGGAAUUUUGGACAAUGGGCGCAAGCUUGAUCCAGCGGUUCCGCGUGCAGGAUGAAGGCCCUCGGGUUGUAAUAAGCUUUUGUACGGAACGAAAAGGCCUGGGUUAAUACCUCGGCAUCAUAUCGGUUCCGUAAGAAUAAGCACCGGCUAACUCCGUGGCAGCAGCCGCGGUAAUAGGUAGGGUGCAAGCCUUAAUUGGAAUUACUGGGAGUAAAGCGUGUCCAGGCGGCGAUGUGAGACAGGUGUGAAAUCCCCGGGCUUAACCUGGGCAGUGCAUUUGUGCAUUCAUCGGUGGAGUGCGGCAGAGGGGGAUGGAAUUCGGCCAGUAGCAGUGAAAUGCGUAGAUAUGCGGAGGAACACCGAUGGCGAAGGCAAUCCCCUGGGCCUGCGCUGACGGUCAGGCGUGAAAGCGUGGGGAGCAAUCAGGAUUAGAUACCCUGGUAGUCCACGCCCUAAACGAUGUCAACUGGUUGUUGGUCCUUCACUGGAUCAGUAGCGAAGCUAACGCGUGAAGUCGACCGCCUGGGGAGUACGGCCGCAAGGUUGA